CCUGCCCCGGCCCCGACCGCCGCCCGGCGCAACGACGGCCUCGGGAGAUCGGCCAGUGGCGGGCCGACGGGCGGUACCGAUCGCGCGGCACGAAAGCCGUUGCGGUAAAAGUAGAGCACCUUGGGAUGGGCGCGCACGGCGCGCGGGUCAAAGUCGUCGAGCGAGAGGCCGUCGAGUGAGCGGAUGCGCGACAGCGCCACGUAGGCCUGGCCACAGUCAAAGAUGCCGCUCAUCGAAAUGACGGCCCGGUCCAGCGACAUGCCCUGACACUUGUGGAUGGUCAUGGCCCACGCCAGCAGCAGGGGCACCUGCCAAUAGUUGACGGUGCCCACGCCGGGCUCGGUGAUGGACCACUUGUGCGGCACGAUCCGGGUCUCGAUGCCGCAGGCAAAGGCCACCACGGGGUAGCGCCCCGUCGUCGCCCGGCUGCGGUUCGAGCAGCGUCGGAGCCACCGGCCUCUGACGUACGGCGCCAUCCGUUUGUCGGCGCCAUUGUCCUCAUUGUCAUCGCAUUCCGCGGCGGCAUCAGCCGCGGCCCUUGCGCGCUCCUGUUCCUCGACCGCCGUGGCAAAGCGGCGCACGACACCGCGCGCCCCGUUGACCAGGCCGCGCUCGACAUCCAGAUUGGCCAGCAGGACCACCUGCGCACCCACCUUGAGGUGGACAUAGGGUGCGGCGGGCGCAUUCUUUUCAAGCACUGCCCGGUGGGCGUUGAGCGUGGCCUCGAUCUUGGGCGUCAUCUUGACGCCCUCGUCGAGGCGCCACGGGCACUUGGAGGCAAAGGUCUCGGACUCGCCGGUGAGGCCGUCCAGCCGCGCGGCGUUGAUGGCGGCCACCUGGGCGACGAGCGGGCACAGACGUGUGGGCUCCACGCCGUCGUCGGUGGCGAGCGCGGCGCCGACGCGCGCCGCAAACAGGGCCUCGUCCUCGGGCGUCUGCUCGGCAAACGCAUGCGGUUGAGCGCGCCCACGAGCGUGUCGUCCUUUUGGCGAAAGACCGUGCGUAGGUCGACCACCUGGAGGGCGAGCGCGCGGUCGGUCCACAGCGGCAGUUCAAAGCAAAACUGCGGGCGCUCGGCGCCGCCCGGUGCCGGCGUCCGAUCGACGAUGGCCGGCAGUUGGGCAAAGUCGCCCACGAGUAUGACCUGGAUGCCGCCAAAGGCGCGGUCCAUGCGGCCGCGCAUCCACCGCGCCAGUUGGUCGCACUUGUGAAAGAACUCGGCGUCGACCAUCGAGAUCUCGUCGACCACGAGCACGUCCAUGGCGCGCCACCGGGCCACAACCUUGGGUCGCGUGCCCAGAGCCGCCUGCAGGGCGGGCAGCGGCUCGGCGCCGAGGCCGCAGCCGAGCACGCGGUGAAGCGUGGUGCCGCCCACGUUGACGGCGGCCAUGCCCGUGCUGCCGGUCACCUGCACGGUCUUGCCCUGGGCGCGCUUGGCGGCAAUGAUGUAGCGCAGGAGAAAGGACUUGCCGGCGCCGCCGCUGCCCGACAGCAACAGAUUGUGGCCGGCCUCGGCCAGCCGUGCGGCAUGCGCCUGCGCCGGCGACCAGCGCACGUCGCGAAAGGUCCCUAGGUCGCUGCCCUCGUCGUCGCCUGCCAUUCUCCUUCUCCCAAGGGUGGGGUGCGAUAGAAAAGUCCUCUUUUCUUGUCUCUGUUCCGUCCGUCGAACCGGUCUUGCAAUUCAACAAGAAGAUUGGACGGUGGCGGCGAGUUGGGUUUUUCUGGCGGUGGCCGGCACUGGACAGAGAGACCCCCCUUUUGUGGUUCUUUUUUUCCGAAUGUGUGUCUCGAUGGCAAGAGACACAAGACGCAUGGGACCCCCAUAUAUGGCCGGCAUGCCGCCUCUUUUUCCCCCGGUCUGCGGGUGCGCGUUGCGACCUGCGCCGCCGGUCGACCGGGCCUGCCUUUUUUUCUUUGCCAACACCGCCUCUGUCUUUUUUUUGCCAGCGAGAAUAGGAUUUCAUUGGUUGCAUGAGAAAACCCCGCGGGCGCAAAAGAAAUACAAAGGCGAAAUGACGCAAAAGUCGCCGCCGCCGCCGCUGCUCAAUGUCGUCGCGAUGCAUUUGCCGCAGGCACGGCCUUUUUGUCGGUCCGCCCUUUUUUUGCAAAGCGAACCCAGAACCCCUGAG
rnacentral:lncRNA from 1 species